GCGUCUGGCAAGCCGUUGUUUUUGUUUAGGGAUCCAGCCCUCCGAAGGCUGGGGUCACAGGUUCGAAUCCUGUCGGGCGCG
rnacentral:tRNA from 1 species